AUUGAACGCUGGCGGCAGGCCUAACACAUGCAAGUCGAGCGGAUGAAGGGAGCUUGCUCCUGGAUUCAGCGGCGGACGGGUGAGUAAUGCCUAGGAAUCUGCCUGGUAGUGGGGGAUAACGUCCGGAAACGGGCGCUAAUACCGCAUACGUCCUGAGGGAGAAAGUGGGGGAUCUUCGGACCUCACGCUAUCAGAUGAGCCUAGGUCGGAUUAGCUAGUUGGUGGGGUAAAGGCCUACCAAGGCGACGAUCCGUAACUGGUCUGAGAGGAUGAUCAGUCACACUGGAACUGAGACACGGUCCAGACUCCUACGGGAGGCAGCAGUGGGGAAUAUUGGACAAUGGGCGAAAGCCUGAUCCAGCCAUGCCGCGUGUGUGAAGAAGGUCUUCGGAUUGUAAAGCACUUUAAGUUGGGAGGAAGGGCAGUAAGUUAAUACCUUGCUGUUUUGACGUUACCAACAGAAUAAGCACCGGCUACUUCGUG
rnacentral:rRNA from 1 species